UACGGGGGGGGUAAGCGUUGUUCGGAAUUACUGGGCGUAAAGGGCUCGUAGGCGGCCAACUAAGUCAGACGUGAAAUCCCUCAGCUUAACUGGGGAACUGCGUCUGAUACUGGAUGGCUUGGAUUCGGGAGAGGAAUGCGGAAUUCCAGGUGUAGCGGUGAAAUGCGUAGAUAUCUGGAGGAACACCGGUGGCGAAGGCGGCGUUCUGGACUGUUUCUGACACUGAAAAACGAAAGCCAGGGGAGCAAACGGG
rnacentral:rRNA from 1 species